rnacentral:lncRNA from 1 species
GAAUUUCCACGACUGAGGAAAUACUUAAGUUUGCCUCAGAAUUCUUUGGCAAGCUUUUUCGACCUCGGAUUCGGGUCCUGAUGAGCGGGUUUUUGAUUUAGUGGAAAAGUUAAUGAUGACAUGAAUAAAUUCCUUCUCCAACAAGUUACAGAGGAAGAUAUUUCCCGUGUAGUUAAAUUCAUGGCGCCACUGAAAGCCCCC